rnacentral:rRNA from 1 species
UACGUAGGGUGCGAGCGUUAAUCGGAAUUACUGGGCGCAAAGCGUGCGCAGGCGGCGCGUUAAGACAGGUGUGAAAGCCCCGAGCUUAACUUGGGAAUUGCGCUUGUGACUGGCGUGCUGGAGUGUGGCAGAGGGAGGUGGAAUUCCACGUGUAGCAGUGAAAUGCGUAGAGAUGUGGAGGAACACCGAUGGCGAAGGCAGCCUCCUGGGCCAGCACUGACGCUCAUGCACGAAAGCGUGGGGAGCAAACAGG